UCAGUUUGUGUUAGGCAAUGGCCGUAAUGGUCCUAAAGAUGGCACCACAGCGCUGUUUGAAGUAAUCCCUAUAUAAACAAACAUGGUAAGUGAAAACAGACACUCCUCUAUGGAUGUGACGUCACAAUAACGUUCUGACAAACGUCAUGCUACUCCAAAGAAAUUCUAGUGCACAGACAGUCUGUCAUCAGAAAGCAACAUGAAUUCAAACCAAGCGACACCAAGAAAUGAUUUAAGACACCACCGUUAUUUGUCUGGAAGGAUGCCUCCAAUUGAAAGGAAACCCCCUGCUGAGAUCUAUGAUUCCACAGACUCUGAGGACAUCCCUUUCAACUCCUCCCCUGACUCUGACACUUUGUGUGGAAGGGCGACACGGGUGAUGGUGAGACCCUGUAGGGUGACCAGUCCCUCUAGAGACUCUGCAGGCUCCACCUGCUCUGAGGAU